rnacentral:lncRNA from 13 species
ACCGGUCCACCAUCCCCAUCCACAAAAACCUAGCAAAACCGAAACCUACUUGAAGGUAACCUCGCUCACUGUUACCCCUAGUGGCCGGUUUCCACAUCGUCUCCCGAUAUCCUCAGACAUUGAUGAACGUCGAAUACUGGCUGGUAUCACGGGUGACCUAGCUGGGUCACCCUUAUUAUAAUACCCCAUAACUCUGUAAAAAAAACUUGAGAUUAAUUAGGCUGCAUGGUUGAUUAUAGACGAUAUAUAUUACUGCAUACAUACAUUGCAAGUACAAUAGACUACAGAACCUUGUACAUUAUGAUUUACACGGUAGGUGGUGCUAAACCCAUUCGAUUUUAUAGAUACCCCCAACCGGCUGAUUUUUAUCGAGCUGGACGGAUUCCAGUAUAGUACUUCGUAGCUCCAGCGAGUAAUCGCUGUGUAACAGCCUACUACCAGUCCCGUCAUAGACAUUCUCGCAACCAGGGAAUGCGUCUGGAGCGAGCGUGCAGCGCUCGAGAAGAGAACCAGAGAAUGUGAGAGCAGCGCGCAAAACCACGUCUCCACAACCGACUUUCAUAGAAUUCCUAGAAAUGUGCUUCUCGUAGAUUGCCCAGCGCCAAUAAAGCGGGGAUAUCUGCUCCAGUAACUCAUAGGAAAAUGAAACGGCUUUCCCGAAAGCUGACUUUGGCAUUGGUGGUGCUUUGUUGGAUUGCUGCACUACUGUAUUUGAUACUCUUAAGUAGGCAGAAAGUAUCGGACCUGGGGACUAAAGAUGCACAGUACGGAAAGUACAGGGACGAGAACACAUCACACAGAAGAACAUUUUCCCUCCCUAUGAAAUCACCUCGGCACACUGUGCCAACCCUGACCUGGAAGUUGAAAAAUGAAUGGGCUGUCAUCCGCAAGAGGGAUGUGCUAACAUUCUACAGGUCAGGGCUGCCUCUGCCUGUCAUAAUGACUGACUGUUUCUGUGAUACCCAGGGGGACGGAAACUACACCUACAUUGGACCAAACACACAUCUAUCAUUUACCCACCAUGCACCAUGCCCAGGCACUUUGAUAUAUCUCCCUCUCAAUUGUUUCAAUUCAAUUUAAGUUUUUUGGGGGGCAUGGGAAACAUAUGUUAACAUUGCCAAAGUAAGUGAACUAGAUAAUAAACAAAAGUGAAAUCAAGAAUCUUAUUUAACAGUAAACACACAGUUCCAAAAUAAUAAAAACAUGACCAAUCUCUCUCUGUGUCUCUCUCUGUGUGUGUGUGUGUCUCUCUCUCUCUCUCUCUCUCUCUCUCUCUCUCUCUCUCUCUCUCUCUCUCUCUCUCUCUCUCUCUCUCUCUUUCUCUCUGAUGACAUCAGAGAAACAACAAUGAAGAUUGGAGAUGAUGACACAUUAUGAUUAUUAUGGUGCAAAGGGCUGAGGCAUUAGGCCUAAUGUGUGGACCAGUGGGAUGAUAAAUGAGCCUGUCGGUCUCAGGGAUAAAUUAACCAUGCAGGAUGUGUGUUAUUGGGCUGGAGUGUCCACACCCUCUUAAUGUUAUUGGUGUCUGGGCCUCCAGCUCGGCCUUGGCACUGAUUUGUACUUUAUCAUUCGCUGGUUUAUGAGCUAUGACCCCCAGCUCUGAAUUAUACCACCACGUGGACUUCUAAUAAUAUCCCUGUGUGUGUGUGUGUGUGUGUGUGUGUCUUUGUCUGUGUGUGUGCUGUGCAGUCCUGAACAUCACAUCUGAGACGAGACAGACAAAGAUCUGUAAAUGAGCUGCUAGGGGUAAUCUCAUUACCUGGCUAGGAGUCAAAGGAGGCUGUGCAAUUACUACCCCAUAGCUUUGAUACUGUAACUAGGCAUGUGCACCUCCUGUGGUACCACCAAGACCAUAGACAGACUAUGAUGAGAUUCCCCCUGCUACAGUUUUCCUUUGGUUAUCUCUGUUGGGUAAGACGUGUUGCGGUGGUUGAGUUAAGGGGUCUAGGAAUAGGAACAACAUACACAAACACACAUGCCGAGACACAGGGGAUGGGGGGGGUAUUAGGAUCCAAUUACAGCUCCCUCUGUCAUCCACAACUCAUUAAGACACACUUCCCCGUCUGGGGAGCACCCCUAACUGCUGGGGGUUAAAAUGUUGCGCAACUCUGUCGCGGUGUAGCUUACCAACCCUCACUCGUUCCUUCCUUUCCUCCCUCCCUCUCUCCCUCCACCAAGGUAUCAUGUCCAAUUAGGCUGCAAUAUCCUCCACAUGAAACCUGGCUCUCUGGUGGCUGCCUGC